rnacentral:lncRNA from 1 species
GGCCUGAUUUGUGAAAAAUAUAUUACAAUCUGUUUAUCUUAUGAUUGUCAAAUAGAUUUUCUUUUAAGUAAACGAAAAUCUCAUCUAAGUGCAUUUACAUUUCUGAUUUGUUCGUCAUACAUUCACGAAAUUGAUGCACACAAACCUCAUUUACGCAGCUUUUGAUCAAAUGAAAGCAAAAAUUGACAAAAUCUUCUUUCAAUCAAAAGCA